rnacentral:rRNA from 1 species
UCGUAGUUGGAUUUCUGUUAAUAAUUUAUAUAAAAUAUUUUGAUGAAUAUUUAUAUAAUAUUAACAUAAUUCAUAUUACUAUUUUUUUUUUUAGUAUAUGAAAUUUUACUUUGAGAAAAUUAGAGUGCUUAAAGCAGGCAUAUGCCUUGAAUACUCCAGCAUGGAAUAAUAUUAAAGAUUUUUAUCUUUUUUAUUGGUUCUAAGAUAAGAAUAAUGAUUAAUAGGGACAGUUGGGGGCAUUUGUAUUUAACAGUCAGAGGUGAAAUUCUUAGAUUUGUUAAAGACAAACUAAUGCGAAAGCAUUUGCCAAGGAUGUUUUCAUUAAUCAAGAACGAAAGUUAGGGGAUCGAAGACGAUCAGAUACCGUCGUAGUCUUAACCAUAAACUAUGCCAACUAGAG